AAAGGUGGAGGCGGAAGUGACUGAUCAAUUCAGGGGCGUGGGGUUCGUUUAGGUUUUGCCCUGUGUAUGACCUCGUUUGGAGCCAUGAAACCAGCCUCAAGCUUUAUUCUAGGAAGGUAAUUCUGAAGAUACCUAUCUUCUUGAGAGUGAAAUUUUAUGGAAUCCUAGAUUUCUCAUACCUAGGAAUAACAAUGAGCAAAGCAGACCUUGGUGGCCAGAGGGGAGCCCUCAGGUAGAGCUGCAGAUGCUGGCAGUUUGUGUUAGAAGGUUCCGGGGCUAAACAGAUGCCUAGAAUUAGCCACCAAAAGGUAAAUUGUAGACUCCACUCUUCAAGAAGCAGCAGAAGGAUUAGGAAUUCAAACAGUGCUAUUUUACGGUGGCUUUUCUACAAUAUAAAGAUGGAAAUGGGAAGAAGAUGUUCAUUGCAAAUUAAGGAAGCUCUUCCACGAGUUCACGAAUGGAAAUAACAUCAAGAGUUUUUCAUCUUCUUAGUGUGCAAGGUUAAAAUGAAUAAUGAAAGGAAAGGGAGAGCGUCUCUCUUUACAAUGCUGGAACAGAUGUCUUGAGUCUGCCUCCUGAUGACUUAAUUUAUGUCAUGUGCUCAGCCCUAAACCAAUCCCUGUGGCAGAAGUGAAGUGGCUGUGAAAAGAACUGGGGGUAGUAUUGAGAAGAAAAGUAGAAAAUGACAGGUCAAAAUAUAACAAAUGUCCGCUACCAAAAAUAAUGUUUUCCUGUCAAUUUUUAAGCAUGUGUGUAUGGUUUCAAUGUAUUAUUAAAAGUAUGUGUGUGUAUACAUAUACAUAUAAGAAUCUAAUGUAUUCUAUAU
rnacentral:lncRNA from 1 species